CCUACGGGUGGCAGCAGUGGGGAAUAUUGGACAAUGGAGGCAACUCUGACCCAGCAACGCCGCGUGAAUGAUGAAGGUCUUCGGAUUGUAAAGUUCUUUUCUAAGGGACGAAGAAAGUGACGGUACCUUAGGAAUAAGCCUCGGCUAACUACGUGCCAGCAGCCGCGGUAAUACGUAGGAGGCAAGCGUUAUCCGGAAUGACUGGGUGUAAAGGGGGCGCAGACGGCAAUGCAAGCCAGGAGUGAAAGCCCGGGGCCCAACCCCGGGACUGCUCUUGGAACUGCAUGGCUGGAGUACAGGAGGGGCAGGCGGAAUUCCUAGUGUAGCGGUGAAAUGCGUAGAUAUUAGGAGGAACACCGGUGGCGAAGGCGGCCUGCUGGACUGUGACUGACGUUGAGGCCCGAAGGCGUGGGGAGCAAACAGGAUUAGAUACACCAGUAGUC
rnacentral:rRNA from 1 species